UGCAACCUGAGCUCAGUCGUGAUUACCCGCCGAACUUAAGCAUAUCAUUCAGCGGAGGAAGAGAAACUAACUAGGAUUC
rnacentral:rRNA from 1 species